rnacentral:rRNA from 1 species
GUAGAGAAUACCGAGGCGAUCGGGCGAACUGUGGUUAAGGAACUCGGCAAAUUACCCCCGUAACUUCGGGAGAAGGGGGGCCACAGACUGUCAUACCCCACGCGGGUGGCAGCAGUAGGUGGCCGCAGAGACCAGGGGGAAGCGACUGUUUACUAAAAACACAGGUCCGUGCGAAGUCGUAAGACGAUGUAUACGGACUGACGCCUGCCCGGUGCUGGAACGUUAAGGGGACCGGUUAGUCCGCAAGGGCGAAGCUGAGAACUUAAGCGCCAGUAAACGGCGGUGGUAACUAUAACCAUCCUAAGGUAGCGAAAUUCCUUGUCGGGUAAGUUCCGACCUGCACGAAUGGCGUAACGACUUCCCUACUGUCUCAACCACAGGCCCGGCGAAAUUGCACUACGAGUAAAGAUGCUCGUUACGCGCGGAAGGACGGAAAGACCCCGGGACCUUCACUAUAGCUUGACAUUGGUAUCCGAAUUUAAUUGUGUAGGAUAGGUGGGAGGCUUUGAUCCGCGGACGCCAGUCCGUCGGGGAGCCAACGUUGAAAUACCACUCUGUUGACUUUGGGUAUCUAACUUCGGACCGUGAUCCGGUUCAGGGACAGUGUCUGGUGGGUAGUUUAACUGGGGCGGUUGCCUCCUAAAAUGUAACGGAGGCGCCCAAAGGUUCCCUCAGCCUGGUUGGCAAUCAGGUGUUGAGUGCAAGUGCACAAGGGAGCUUGACUGUGAGACUGACAGGUCGAGCAGGGACGAAAGUCGGGACUAGUGAUCCGGCACCUGCGAGUGGAAGCGGUGUCGCUCAACGGAUAAAAGGUACCCCGGGGAUAACAGGCUGAUCUUCCCCAAGAGUCCAUAUCGACGGGAUGGUUUGGCACCUCGAUGUCGGCUCGUCGCAUCCUGGGGCUGGAGUAGGUCCCAAGGGUUGGGCUGUUCGCCCAUUAAAGCGACACGCGAGCUGGGUUUAGAACGUCGUGAGACAGUUCGGUCCCUAUCCUCCGCGCGCGUAGGAGACUUGAGAAGAGCUGUCCCUAGUACGAGAGGACCGGGACGGACGAACCUCUGGUGUGCCAGUUGUCAUGCCAAUGGCACGGCUAGUUAGCUACGUUCGGAAGGGAUAACCGCUGAAAGCAUCUAAGCGGGAAGCUCGCUUCAAGAUGAGGUCUCCCACCCCUUAGAGGGUUAAGGCCCCCAGCUAGACCACUGGGUUGAUAGGCCAGAAGUGUAAGCCUGGUAACAGGUUCAGCCGACUGGUACUAAUAGGCCGAGGACUUCACCAC